CCUACGGGUGGCAGCAGUGGGGGAUAUUGCACAAUGGGGGAAACCCUGAUGCAGCGACGCCGCGUGUGGGAAGACGGUCCUCUGGAUUGUAAACCACUGUCCCCAGGGACGAAGAUGACGGUACCUGGGGAGGAAGCGCCGGCUAACUACGUGCCAGCAGCCGCGGUAAUACGGAGGGAGCAAGCGUUGUCCGGAAUUACUGGGUGUAAAGGGAGCGUAGGCGGGAUGGCAAGGUGGGUGUGAAAUCUACUGGCUCAACUGGUAGUCGCACUCAAAACUGCUAUUCUUGAGUGAAGUAGAGGCCGGCGGACUUCCUCGUGUAGCGGUGAACUGCGUCGAUCUUCGGCGGAACCCCAGUGGCGACGGCGGCCUGCUGGGCUUUUACUGACGCUGCGGCUCGAUAGUGUGGGGAGCAAACCGGAUUAGCUACCCCUGUAGUC
rnacentral:rRNA from 1 species